rnacentral:lncRNA from 10 species
GUGGGAGAGGGUGCCCCCAAGAAGGGAGGCUUCAGGAAAGCGAAAAGCAGUUUGGCAGCCCCAGGGCCGCGGGCCCCAGCGAUGAGGGGCUGGGGGAGGCCAGGGGCGGGCCCUGGACCCGCGCCAGCCCGGUCCGCGCCGAAGGGGAGGGAAGGCAGGGCGGCCUGGGGGAGGGGAACUGGGGUGAGGGCGGGACACGGACAGCCGCCGCCUGCGGCUCCGAAGCUCGAGGUCUCCCGGGGUGCGGGGACGUGGGGCCGAAGACCCCGCUCCGCAGCCGCGGCGAGGCCUCGUCCUUCACUGUGCAGAUGCGAAGCUUUCAAGGACACGUCUGCACCGGCCCGGCGGGACCUGGCUCACCUACCAGCUGCUCAGCGACUUCCACCCCCACAGUGACUCACCACUGCAGUCAUCUUAAUAUCCCCUCCAUGUGACACCUACGAGGAGAACUAUGUCCUGGACCUCAUCACCGUAGGUUCUUCAUCUGUAACACAUGGGGAUCCUUCUACCCGCCUUCCAGGUAGGGCUGUCACAUUAGUCAAGAUUCUCUCUGUUACAGUAACAGAAUGCCAGCCUGAAUUAGUCUGAACAGAGGGAUUCUGUUGUUUAGAAUUGAGACAAUUGUGAAGCCCAGAGUUGGGGAUUUAGGACUAGGAAAACCUAGUUCAAAUGCCAGCUCCAGAGUGCACUCUCUCCCUGCUCUCUCUCUUUCUUCCCCUGUUUCCAUCGCUCACGACUGCUUCCCACUAUUUUGGCAUCUUUCCCUCCUACUUUAAACAAACUCCACACAGCCUUGGAAGAUGGUGACCAGCAGCCUCAGGCUCACAUGCUUCCAGCUUAGAAUCCCAGUGGAAGAAUAUCAUUUUCUUUUCCUUCAAGAAAGGAAGGAGGACUUCAGGAAAUCCCCUAAUGCCUCCACAACAUAAAGCUCUGGGUCUUUUAACAACCCCUCACUCCCAACCCUGAUCCUCAGACACACAAUUGCCCUGGUUUUUGUUUCUGUUUUUGUUUUUCUUCAAUGUCACCCUCUCUCAAGGGGCCAUCCCUAGCAGAAAAGUUCCAGGGACUACUUCAGUUGUUCUGGCGUUGGUCACAAGUCCAACCUGAACCAGGUUCUGUGGCCAGUGGGAUAGCACAGAUUACAUGCCCACUCCUGUAAGUGGGUUCAAGAGGUGGCACUGGGAUGAACAGAUCCUGCCAGCACCCUGUGAAGCAGGGCAAAGCUGUUCACCAAAGCAAGGGUGCUGGGCAAACACACCACACGCCACCCAAUGGCCACGCAGCAUCCUUGCGUACCUUUCCCCACCAUGGAUGCCCUUUCUUUUUCUCUUUUUCUUUUUUCUUUUUUUUUUUUUUGAGACGGAGUCUCACUCUGUCGCCAGGCCAGAGUGCAGUGGCAUGAUCUCGGCUCACUGCAACCUCCGCCUCCCAAGUUCAGGCGAUUCUCCUGCCUCAGCCUCCUGAGUAGCUGGGAUUACAGGCGCCCGCAGCCACAACCAGCUAAUUUUUGUAUUUUUAGUAGAGACGGGGUUUCACCAUGUUGGCCAGGCUGUUCUCGAUCUUUUGACCUUGUGAUCUGCCCG